CUCCCCAUCUCAUCCAGCAGCCUGCAGCCUUGCCCUGUGUCCUGACAUGAAAGGAAUGACCCGCGCCUUUCUCCUGGUGCUAGCAGGUCUGCCUGCCUUGGAAGCCAGUGACCCAAUCGAUAAAGACAGUCCCUUCUAUUAUGACUGGGAGAGCCUGCAACUGGGUGGAAUGAUCUUUGGAGGGCUCCUGUGCAUCGCUGGAAUAGCCACGGCCCUGAGUAAGUACAGGG